UGUCAAAGUUUGUUCCUUGAUGCAGAUGCAUUCUGUUUUCUUCUGCCAGCGCCCGUAAAAUCAUUGCCUACAGUGACAUCUCUUGGAUCUCCAUAGAUUUUCUGCAAACGUGGACAGAUUUACAGCCAUUCCUCAAAUUGCAUGGAAGAGCAAAACGCACGCAGUCUAUUUAGAAAUAGUGUUUCAGUGAACAAUUGGAGAGCAGAGGAUUUGAAGAGCUUGAAAUUUUGAGUCUGUGUUGAAGUGGGCAGCUCAAAUCUGAGAAGAAGAGCAAAAAUGGUGGUGUGCAUUUCAUCUCCCUAUGCAGUGGGUUUGUGCGAUUCGAUCCUCUCACCUGCUGGUGUCAACAGAGCAGUGAGCCCUGCUUCUUUCAAUGCUGCUGCUCGCUUCUCUUCCAAUUUAAUGCUAGGGAGAGAAUCCUCCCGUGUUUGUGCGAGGAGAAAGAAGAUGCUGCCUGGCCUCUGCUUUGUAUUCAAGGAAAAUGAAGGACAAAUUGGAGAACAGUCUCUGGAAUUUGCAGAUUCGUUGAGAAGGGCUGUUGAGAAGGAGGAAAAGGGGCUGUCAAGCAAUGUCAAGGCUAAUUUGGCUGCGCUUGCUUGGAGCCUCGGAAUUACAGGCACUGCUGCAGCAGCCAUUUAUUAUAGAUUUCUCUUCGUAAUGAAGGGUGAGGAGCUUCCUUACACGGAGAUGAUGGGUACAGUUUUAGUUGCAGCUGUAGCAGCGGUUGGAAUGGAGCAUUGGGCUCGCUGGGUUCACCGAACUUUCUGGCAUGGUGCCUUGUGGUCCAUCCAUGAGUCUCAUCACAGGCCCAGAGAUGGACCUUUUGAAAUGAACGACAUAUUUACCAUCCUCAAUUCCAUCCCUGCUAAUGUCUUAUUAACAUAUGGACUCUACUGUAAAGGUCUUGUGCCAAGUCUCUGUUUUGGUGCUGGAAUAGGAAUCACCAUUGGUGGGCUUGCAUAUAUAAUUGUCCAUGAUGGCCUUAUUGAUAGACGUUUUCCUGUUGGGCCACUCGGUGAUAUUCCGUAUCUUCGAAAAGUAGCAGCUGCACAUCAGAUUCAUCAUGCAGAUAAGUUUGAUGGUAUACCAUUUGGUAUCUUACUUGGACCUUCAGAACUGAAAAACCUGGAAGGUGGUCCUGAAGAGCUGGAAAAAUUUGUGAGUAGGAGGAGGAAGGCCUCUAGAAGUUACAUGGAAAGCAAAGAUGUUGCUGUGAAGCAGUAACCUUGACUUCUUUGUCCCUCUAUUGUAAAGUUGGAAUUACACUGCCCUGAAAGCACCUGAAUGUUGCUUACCAUUUGGAGAAGAGAGGGAAUACAGCAUGUCAAUAUUCAAGGUUGGUAACAUGGUUCAUCAGGCCUGAACUGCUCAGAAAUAUAUUCAGUUUUGCUCUCAAGGUAACCUACUUCAGUUCAUUAACCAAUUGAAGCUGAUGGAGACUCGAGCAACAUUAUUCGCAAAGAUUGUGACAGAGUAUCGGGCACACGCAUAGAAAGGGAGCUUCAUCAUCCAACAUCUCUUAGCUGACAUUUCAUUCAAAUAUUUUCAUCAAGUCCUUGUUCCAGCUUUACAAAUUGCAGCAGGAAAUGCAAUGAAUUCAUCUUUCAUGAUCUAAUUUGUACCAAAGAGAAUUUUAACAUUUAAUUAAAAAUUGUACUUGAACAUUAAAUGGAUUCAAUGAGGAAUGUUAUGGAUUUAAUGCCUUUAAUAAUGCAAAAUACAACAUCUGGUUCCGCUUA